rnacentral:rRNA from 1 species
GAUGAACGCUGGCGGCGUGCCUAAUACAUGCAAGUCGAGCGAACAGACGAGGAGCUUGCUCCUCUGACGUUAGCGGCGGACGGGUGAGUAACACGUGGAUAACCUACCUAUAAGACUGGGAUAAAUUCGGGAAACCGGAGCUAAUACCGGAUAAUAUAUUGAACCGCAUGGUUCAAUAGUGAAAGACGGUUUUGCUGUCACUUAUAGAUGGAUCCGCGCCGCAUUAGCUAGUUGGUAAGGUAACGGCUUACCAAGGCAACGAUGCGUAGCCGACCUGAGAGGGUGAUCGGCCACACUGGAACUGAGACACGGUCCAGACUCCUACGGGAGGCAGCAGUAGGGAAUCUUCCGCAAUGGGCGAAAGCCUGACGGAGCAACGCCGCGUGAGUGAUGAAGGUCUUCGGAUCGUAAAACUCUGUUAUUAGGGAAGAACAAAUGUGUAAGUAACUAUGCACGUCUUGACGGUACCUAAUCAGGAAGCCACGGCUAACUACGUG